GGUUUCUUGGCUUGUCUUUUUAGCCAAAAGAUUUGACGUUUAGAGGAGUUUACAGAGCAACGUGGGUCAGAAAUCAGUGGGUCUCUUGGCUUGUUCUUUUGGCCAAACAUAGAAGACAUGGCCACAAACAACUCGAGCUAUGCAGAAUCCGUAAAAGCUAGGUUAUGGGAAAUCUCUAGAAUCUUGGGAGAAAAAAAAAAAGAAACCCAAAAACUUGAAUGCUAAAGGUUUCAUUUUAUUCAUUGCAGCUCAUGGCUGGAAUAGGAAAAAAAGAAGAAGAGAAACUCAUACUUGAAUGCUAAAGUUGAUUCAGAAAUUCACAAUCUGCUCGCGAUUCCCUCUAUUCAUCUUCGUCUUCAUCUUCUUGAUGGCCAACUCCAUAUCUGAAACAAAGCCCCAUCCAUGGCCGCGACAAGCGAGGUCAAAGUAGGAGGAAGAGAGAGAGAAAAAGACUUGGGUGAGUCGAUAACCCACCGUCAUCCUCGUCGUCCUCCUCUUCCUCGCCGUCAUCCUCGUCGUCCACGCCGCCGCGCCCAUCUCCUUCGCCGUUCACUUCCUCCUAGCUUUGCAUGCCGUCUUCCUCCUCUUCUUCCUCAUCAACAGUGGCAGGGACGCAAUUCUCCUUCACAACCCUAACUUCCUCGUCCUCUUCGAACUUGAUCUCCUCUUCCUCGUCGGAAUUCAUUGUCGCAAUCACGACCUCAUGCACGCCGGGACAAUAAUCCGGUGAUUUCUCGGCUCGAUUCUGAACAAAAAUGAACGGAAAUCUUCGAGAAAAUGGAACAUAAUGGGAAAAAAUUUUCUGGGUGACGUGAAAAUGCC
rnacentral:lncRNA from 1 species